AGUGAACGCUGGCGGUAGGCCUAACACAUGCAAGUCGAACGGCAGCACAGUAAGAGCUUGCUCUUACGGGUGGCGAGUGGGGGACGGGUGAGGAAUACAUCGGAAUCUAAUUUUUCGUGGGGGAUAACGUAGGGAAACUUACGCUAAUACCGCAUAGGACCUACGGGUGAAAGCAGGGGAUCUUCGGACCUUGCGCGAUUGAAUGAGCCGAUGUCGGAUUAGCUAGUUGGCGGGGUAAAGGCCCACCAAGGCGACGAUCCGUAGCUGGUCUGAGAGGAUGAGCGACCACACUAGAACUGAGACACGUUCCAAACUCCUACGACGCGCACCAGUGGGGACUAUGGGACAAGGGGCGCAAGCCUGAUCCAGCCAUACCGCGUGGGUGAAGAACUCCUUCGGGUUGUAAAGCCCUUUUGUUGGGAAAGACAAACAGCAGGUUAAUACCCCGCUGUUCUGACGGUACCCAAAGAAUAAGCACCGGCUAACUUCG
rnacentral:rRNA from 1 species